rnacentral:rRNA from 1 species
UACGGAGGGUGCAAGCGUUAUCCGGAUUCACUGGGUUUAAAGGGUGCGUAGGCGGAAUUAUAAGUCAGUGGUGAAAGCCCCGAGCUCAACUUGGGAACUGCCAUUGAUACUGUUUUUCUUGAAUGUAGAUGAAGUGGGCGGAAUAUGACAUGUAGCGGUGAAAUGCUUAGAUAUGUCAUAGAACACCGAUUGCGAAGGCAGCUCACUAAACUAUUAUUGACGCUGAGGCACGAAAGCGUGGGGAGCGAACAGG